AUUGAACGCUGGCGGCAGGCCUAACACAUGCAAGUCGAACGAGUGGCGGACGGGUGCGUAAUGUCUGGGAAACUGCCCGAUGGAGGGGGAUAACUACUGGAAACGGUAGCUAAUACCGCAUACCAUCUGAUGUGCCCCGAUGGGAUUAGGUGGUAGGUGGGGUAACUGCUCACCUAGGCGACGAUCCCUAGCUGGGCGGAGAGGAUGACCAGCCACACGGGAACUGAGACACGGCCCAGACUCCUACGGGAGGCAGCAGUGGGGAAUAUUGCACAAUGGGCGCAAGCCUGAUGCAGCCAUGCCGCGUGUAUGAAGAAGGCCUUCGGGUUGUAAAGUACUUUCAGCGAGGAGGCGUUACUCGCAGAAGAAGCACCGGCUAACUCCGUGCCAGCAGCCGCGGUAAUAC
rnacentral:rRNA from 1 species